GCAAAGUUCCGCUCCGCUGUUCCGACCUGCAGAGUUCCGCUCUGCUGUUCCGACCUGCAAAAUAAAGUUCAGAAACGGUUCAAACACCCAAACAGUUACGGUUAAUAUAGUUCCGUUCUGUUCCUUUUUAAACCUCUGAAAUCUUUUUUUUUUUUUUUUUUACAUUUAGCUCGACAUGAAAUCACUUCACCAAUCAGUGCAGAUAUAGCAGCUUGCUACGGAGCAGGUCAGAUAUAGCAGGUUGCUAUGGAGCAGGUCAGAUAUAGCAGGUCAGAUAUAGCAGCUUGCUAUGGAGCAGGUCAGACAUAACAGGUCAGAUAUAGCAGCUUGCUACGGAGCAGGUCAGAUAUAGCAGCUUGAUAUGGAGCAGGUGAGAUAUAGCAGGUUGCUAUGGAGCAGGUCAGAUAUAGCAGGUUGCUAUGGAGCAGGUCAGAUAAAGCAGGUUGCUAUGGAGCAGGUCAGAUAUAGCAGGUUGCUAUGGAGCCGGUCAGAUAUAGCAGCUUGCUACGGAGCAGGCCAGAUAGAGCAGCUUAAUAUGGAGCAGGUCAGAUAUAGCAGGUUGCCAAGGAGCAGGUCAGAUACAGCAGGUUGCUAUGGAGCAGGUCAGAUAUAGCAGCUUGAUAUGGAGCAG
ensembl:lncRNA